AUAGCUGGUUUAAGUAGGUUUCCAGACCCUCUGAAGACUGACGGGGGGAUGCUGUUUUCACUGACUGGAGUAACCCCCUGUUUAAGGAUCCUUGCUCUGGGGAGAACAGAGAAGCAUAAGUACAGGUGAAGAAAUAGCUCUAAAGGGUGACGGUAAUGGCAGUAUAGAUGAAGGUCUCUAUUCUCUGGACAUGGUAGUGGGACCAGUUGACAAACAAGAUCACAAAGAGGCAGAGUGGAGAGUAACCAUGGCACCCACAGCCAGAUGGAUUCAGUGGUUCCUCAGAACACCCUUAAUCUCCAACACCAGAAGGGAAGGGAGGGAUCUGGAGGCGGGCUCUGAAAAGCCACCUUUGCCAGCGGGGACCUGGGAGAGAGGCUUGUGUUUCUGGUAACUACACUGUCAGCCAGCAGCAGGGCUGGAGUACUAUGAUCUGAUGGAGCACUAUGAUCUGAUGGAGCAGGGGUCACGUUUUUCUUCAGUUAGUGCAUUCCAAAGCUGCCCUGUGACUGCAAAGUAGACUGGGGCUUUCUUUUCCUCUUUACAGUUUAUUGGCAAAGUAUCAACUGUUUUAUAGGGCAAAUGCUGCCAUCCGCCCAGCUGUGCUCAGCAGUUACUGCCAGCGAGGAUGUUUCAGUUGGGACUCACACUAGGGUGACUCCAGGUUUAAAAGCCUGCCUCUGAAUGCAUCUCUUCAUGCCCUUUAAAUGUUGCAAAUCAAAGAGGCAUACAGGGAGGCUUGGCGAUUGGCAAACUUCCCACCAUAGUGAUGAGAAUAUAGCCCUUUGUGUGGCUAGAACAGCAAGGGGUGAGGAGGAGGAAUACAGGCAGCUUCUCUGGGAGGUCCAAAGCCCCAGUGACAAGCAGAGCAAAUUUCCUGAGGUCAGGGGAGAUACAGAGGAUACUUCACCAGCUACCGAAAACAUUGGGCAGCCCCUUCCUUAGAGACAUCAGUGCUAUUGUUUCUGCUCAUUUCUUCUUCCACGUUUAGCUCACACAUUUAUUCAUUCAGUCAACAUUCAUUAAGCACCUGCUAUGUGACAGUACCCCUAUAUGACAGACCAUGGAUUUAGUGUAGGUUUAAUAUGUCUCAGGGACCCUGGCUUGUACUG
rnacentral:lncRNA from 1 species